ACUCUCUCAGCUCUGCCCAGUUGCACCUGACCUCAGUGGGGCAACUGUCGUUUUUUGAGAGGGAAAGCAAACUGGUUUGCUGUAUGCACGGCAGUGAGGCUUGGCAAGUGGUCUCCCUGUUCCUUUUGAAAGCCAACAUU